GCGACUUAAAUUAAAAUUUUAAUUUUAGAAAGUAUUAAAAAUGCAAUUUAUCCGUUUAUCAAGAACACCAAAAGGGAAAAUUUGUUCAAUCCUUUAAUUUAUACUCACCCUAAAAAUAAAAAUAUAGGUUAAAUUUAGUCGAUGAUAAUAAAAUUAUAUUUAAACUUCUUAAAAAAUUAUAAUUCAAUUCUUCUUAAUUAUAAAAUGUAAAAUUUUGGCCAACAUUACCUACCUUAAUCCAAACGUAGAUGGAAUCAGAUAAUAAUCAACAUUGUAAUCGACAUCUCCUAUUUCUAUUAUCAUAUCAUAUAAGAAAAAAUAAAAUGAAA
rnacentral:lncRNA from 1 species